UCUGAGUGUUAAGGAGAGUGAUUAGAAAUCACUUGGGCUUUGCCCGCGCAGGUUCGAAUCCUGC
rnacentral:tRNA from 1 species